ACUAUUCCUAAGAAAGGUUUCAAUCCUGGCCAUUGAUCUCAAUUUCUUAUCUGACGAUUGUGCUCACUCCUGACCUAUCACACAUCACCGUGUUAGGUUUCCUCUCUUCUCAGUUCUCCUUCUCCCUUUCACUUCUGACAGCGUCUGCACAUGGAGGAGCAGAAGAGUUGUUGAUGAAAUUAUCAACUUCUUUGGUAGAUUUUCGUCACCCUAUAUAGAGUUAGGUUUGAAUUUGAUGGAGAUUAAACAAUGGAGGAAGGAGAAGGACAAGAGAUGAUGAUGGAAAGUAGGAAAUUUUCGUCACCAUCUCAUCUCGUGUUAGGUCAUAAUCAGAAGGAGAAGGAGAAGAGAAGAUGGUGGGAGUCAGAUGGAUCAUCAUCCUUGCCCGAUUUUGGAUCAGAAGAAGCAGAGAAGAUGAUGGAUUUAUUCCCUGUCAUUGUCCCUCCGAUCACGUCAGGGAGGGGAUAUGAUGUUGUUAGGUGCUAUGUACUGCUCUGAUCUCUCCUCUGUCCUAAGUUGAAGCCGAGACACAGCACAAGGACUUGGAUAGUUUUCUGCUAAAUGGGAUAACAAGGGACUGCGAGAAUUAGUUGGCUUUAUAAAGGGAAAUGCUCAAAGAUAGUGUUCCUGGGGCCACCGGAUAUCUCUACAGUGAAGGAGAUCGUUGCGGAGGCGGUGCAGGAUCAUUGAAGGAGCGAUUCCGCCAGUAAUGAUGUUUGUGAAGUGGGUGAGUUGGAAUGUUCAUGGCUUGGAUAGGGCAAAAUAGAGGAGUUUAGUGAAGAAGGUUCUGGUGCAACAUAGGCCAAACGUUGUUUUGAUACAGAAAUUUAAAUUGGAUGAGGAUAGGCUUUUGCUGUUGGAGCGUUGGGUUGCUUUCAUGGGGAUGGAAUGCUAAUGCUAUGCCAGAUAUCUUAGCAAAGAUUGGUUGUGUUAGAGAGGAGCCGCUAUUGGAAGUUUGUUUGGGGAUGUAGUUUUCUUUGUGGGAGAGUGGAGAUUGGAGCUAGGCCUCUUUGGUGGUGCGUGUGGAAUGGUGGAUUGGCUCUGCAGAAUUGGUGGCUUCAAUUUUGCUGCACUACUGAAACUUAAUAAUUGUCUGUUGUGCAUUGUUUGCUUUGUGGUGCAAAGGUAGUAAGGAGUUCAAAUACAUAUUUCUUUGAAGGAAGAAUGAUACAUGAAGGCAUUAAAUGAUCUUGGACAGAGAGAGUGGGAAGAAGUGCUACAUGCUUGCUGCUAGAGCUCUGUCCAUUGCUUGGACAACAGGUUGUUCUGUUAAGUGUUACAUGCUUGCUUCCAGUGUUGUUUUGGAGUGAUAAGCAGAACCGCACCUUGCAUCCGAUCCUGGUAAGUUAUAGAGGCUUGGACAAUAACUUGCUAAUAUCCUUUCCUACUUCCUGAAGAGAAUAGAGGCCAGCCCCCCCCCCCCCCCCUCCAUCCAUACAACAUGGACAAGUUGUGCCUCUGCGGAAAAAUAGAGGCUAGACCUGGUCGCGAAGUAUGAGGUCCUUGGAGAUUGGCUAUAUUAGCACAAAGAUUGUGGUAUGCGUCUUGAAAUUGAAUGAAAGGUGGCCUAAAUCUGAUUCCACCAAGAAGAUGCACCAUUCAUAUUCAAAUCUAAGAAUACAAUUUGAAGCUAAUAAGAUGUACCACUCUUCUGAGUUGAAGUUUCUUCCCCUCUUUUCUCUGUUAAGUCAAUGUGAUGAAGCUAGUUGUUGUGCGCUAGGAGUUACACCCUAAAUCGGAAAGUCAGCUAUUAAUUUUGCUUUCCAGCCUGUUUGAGCUACUCCCUAUCUCAGAAAUCGAACUGCUCAAAGUGCUUUCUAGGAUGAAUGACUGAAGGUUCCCCAUUAAAUCACUCUACUCAUAGAAAGCUUUCAGGCUGAACGAAGAUGCUUUCAUUUGACACCUUCUGAGUCAUCUUCAUAGUCAGCUGAGCUAGGAAGCGCUUAUCUGCAAUGCUUUGGCGAAGCAGAAAAUGAAAGCUUUCUGGUUAAUUUUGCUUUUAUUUUCAUUAAUUGAUUUUUUUUUGUUAAUUUGUCACUAUUCCAAUGGGUUUAUGUAAAUUCUUAAUUUAAACAGUUAAUUCAAUCAAUUCUCGGUAAUGGGUAUGAUUUUAUGUUUUUCAUGAAA